AACGAACGCUGGCGGCAUGCCUAACACAUGCAAGUCGAACGAGACCUUCGGGUCUAGUGGCGCACGGGUGCGUAACGCGUGGGAACCUGCCCUUAGGUUCGGAAUAACUCCCCGAAAGGGGUGCUAAUACCGGAUAAUGUCUUCGGACCAAAGAUUUAUCGACUUUGGAUGGGCCCGCGUUGGUUUAGCUAGUUGGUAGGGUAAAAGCCUACCAAGGCGACGAUACAUAGCUGGUCUGAGAGGAUGAUCAGCCACACUGGGACUGAGACACGGCGCAGAAUACUACGGGAGGCAGCAGUGGGGAAUAUUGGAAAAUGGGCGAAAGCAUGAUCCAGCAAUGCCGCGUGAGUGAUGAAGGCCUUAGGGUUGUAAAGCUCUUUUACCCGGGAUGAUAAUGACAGUACCGGGAGAAUAAGCUCCGGCUAACUCCGUG
rnacentral:rRNA from 1 species